rnacentral:rRNA from 1 species
GUCAAGCGAAGAAGAGCGCAGGGUGGAUGCCUUGGCACUAAGAGCCGAAGAAAGACGCGAUAAGCUGCGAAAAGCCAUGGGGAGGAGCAAAUAUCCCGUGAUCCAUGGAUGUCUGAAUGGGGAAACCCACUGGAGGAGCCCUCCAGUAUCCAUACGCCAAUCCAUAACGUAUGGAGGGGAACCCGGCGAACUGAAACAUCUAAGUAGCCGGAGGAAAAGAAAGAAACGUCGAUUCCGGGAGUAGCGGCGAGCGAAACCGGAGGAGCCUAAACCUGGGUGCGUGCACCUGGGGGUUACGGACCGCGAUGAGUGAGGAGAACCUAUAGCAGAAUGGCUUUGGGAAAGCCAGCCAGAGAGGGUGAAAGCCCCGUAUGCGAAAUGGGUAUCCAGCGAGCGGGAUCCAAAGUACCACGAGACACGAGAAACCUUGUGGGAAGUCGGGGGGACCACCCCCCAAGGCUAAAUACUCCUUAGUGACCGAUAGCGCAUAGUACUGUGAAGGAAAGGUGAAAAGGACCCCGGGAGGGGAGUGAAAGAGAACCUGAAACCCUGCGUUUACAAGCUGUGGGAGUGCCAUAUGAGCACGACCGCGUACUUUUUGUAGAACGGUCCGGCGAGUUGCCGGUGCUGGCGAGGUUAAGCGCGAGGAGCGCGGAGCCGAAGGGAGACCAAGUCUUAAUAGGGCGUUGAGUCAGCACAGGCAGACCCGAAACCGGGUGAUCUAUCCAUGUCCAGGUUGAAGCGGGAGUAAAAUCCCGUGGAGGACCGAACCCACAUCCGUUGAAAAGGGUGGGGAUGAGGUGUGGAUAGGGGAGAAAUUCCAAUCGAACCCGGAGAUAGCUGGUUCUCCUCGAAAUAGCUUUAGGGCUAGCCUCGUGUUAGUCUCAUGGAGGUAGAGCACUGAAUUCCCGCGGGGGCGUCAAAGCUUACCAAAGGAUAUCAAACUCCGAAUGCCAUAGAGAUGUUACACGGGAGUCAGACUGCACGAGAUAAGUUGGGCAGUCAAAAGGGAAAGAGCCCAGACCUCCGGCUAAGGUCCCAAAGUGUGUGUUAAGUGGAAAAGGAUGUGAGGUUUCAAAGACAACUAGGAUGUUGGCUCAGAAGCAGCCAUACAUUGAAAGAGUGCGUAAUAGCUCACUAGUCGAGAGGCCNNNNNNNNNNNNNNNNUGCGCCGAAAAUGUCCGGGGCUGAAACACACCACCGAAGCCGAGGACCCUCUGAGAGGGUGGUAGAGGAGCAUUCUUGAGUGGAAGAAGCAGUACCGUAAGGAGCUGUGGACGAUCAAGAAGAGAGAAUGCCGGAAUGAGUAGCGAGAGGUAGGUGAGAAUCCUACCGGCCGAAUAUCUAAGGUUUCCAGGGUAAAGCUGAUCUGCCCUGGGUGAGUCGGGACCUAAGGCGAGGCUUAACGGCGUAGCCGAUGGACAACAGGUUGAGAUUCCUGUACUGCAGUAUGACAGAACUGUGGGGACACAGAGGGGAAGGAAGAGCCGGGAAUGAAAAGACCGGUGCAAGCGUAUGAGGAGUCAGAUAGGAAAAACCGUCUGAUGAUCCGAGGGCGUUACGCGGACCGAAAAUAAGUAGGGAAGCUUCCGUACCAGCUGUCAAGAAAAGCCGCUAUGGCUCAUACUGCACCCGUACCGUAAACCGACACAGGUGGAUGAGGAGAGAAUCCUAAGGCCGACGGGAGAAGCAUUGUUAAGGAACUCGGCAAAAUGACCCCGUAACUUCGGGAGAAGGGGUGCCUCGAGAGAGGCCGCAGAGAAUUGGCCCAAGCAACUGUUUAGCAAAAACACAGGUCUAUGCGAAACCGAAAGGUGAGGUAUAUGGGCUGACGCCUGCCCGGUGCUGGAAGGUUAAGGGGAGAUGUUAGCGAAUGCGAAGCAUUGAACUUAAGCCCCAGUAAACGGCGGCCGUAACUAUAACGGUCCUAAGGUAGCGAAAUUCCUUGUCGGGUAAGUUCCGACCCGCACGAAAGGCGUAAUGAUUUGGGCACUGUCUCAACAAUGCACCCGGUGAAAUUGAAGUACCAGUGAAGAUGCUGGUUACCUGCGCCAGGACGGAAAGACCCCAUGGAGCUUUACUCCAGCUUGGCACUGGGAUCCGGUAUUGCAUGUACAGGAUAGGUGGGAGGCGAAGAAGGGAGGACGCCAGUCCUUCUGGAGCCGCUGUUGGGAUACCACCCUUGCGAUAUUGGGUUUCUAACCAGCCGCCGUGAUCCGGCGGUGGGACAAUGCCAGGCGGGGAGUUUGACUGGGGCGGUCGCCUCCGAAAGAGUAUCGGAGGCGCCCAAAGGUUCCCUCAGGAUGGACGGAAACCAUCCGAAGAGUGCAAAGGCAUAAGGGAGCUUGACUGCGACACCGACGGGUGGAGCAGGUACGAAAGUAGGGCUUAGUGAUCCGGUGGUGUUAAGUGGGAACGCCAUCGCUCAACGGAUAAAAGCUACCCUGGGGAUAACAGGCUUAUCACUCCCAAGAGUUCACAUCGACGGAGUGGUUUGGCACCUCGAUGUCGGCUCAUCGCAUCCUGGGGCUGAAGUAGGUCCCAAGGGUUGGGCUGUUCGCCCAUUAAAGCGGUACGCGAGCUGGGUUCAGAACGUCGUGAGACAGUUCGGUCCCUAUCCGGCGCGGGCGAAAGAUAUUUGAGAGGAGCUGUCCUUAGUACGAGAGGACCGGGAUGGACUGACCUCUGGUGCACCGGUUGCGCAUCAAGCGCAUGGCCGGGUAGCCAAGUCGGGAAGGGAUAAACGCUGAAGGCAUCUAAGCGUGAAGCCCCCCUCAAGAUGAGAUAUCUCAUAGCGAUAGCUAGUAAGGCCCCUUGAAGACGACGAGGUAGAUAGGCUGGAGGUGGAAGUGCAGCAAUGUAUGGAGCUGACCAGUACUAAUCGGCCGAGGGCUUGUC